rnacentral:rRNA from 1 species
AACGAACGCUGGCGGCAUGCCUAACACAUGCAAGUCGAACGAAGCCUUCGGGCUUAGUGGCGCACGGGUGCGUAACGCGUGGGAAUCUGCCCUUUGGUUCGGAAUAACAGUUGGAAACGACUGCUAAUACCGGAUGAUGACGAAAGUCCAAAGAUUUAUCGCCAGAGGAUGAGCCCGCGUAGGAUUAGCUAGUUGGUGUGGUAAAGGCGCACCAAGGCGACGAUCCUUAGCUGGUCUGAGAGGAUGAUCAGCCACACUGGGACUGAGACACGGCCCAGACUCCUACGGGAGGCAGCAGUGGGGAAUAUAGGACAAUGGGCGAAGGCCUGAUCCAGCAAUGCCGCGUGAGUGAUGAAGGCCCUAGGGCUGUAAAGCUCUUUUACCCGGGAUGAUAAUGACAGUACCGGGAGAAUAAGCCCCGGCUAACUCCGUGCCAGCCGCCGCAGUAA